rnacentral:tRNA from 1 species
GGGGUCCAGUUCAGUGGUAGAACAUUUGCCUAGCAAGAGUAAGGCCUGGAUUCAAUCCCUAGUACCACA